rnacentral:snRNA from 1 species
GAAAACUUGCUCUUUUAGUAUAUUUCUAGUAGGUUUCCUUUAAAAGGAAAUCCCU